GGUGAGAAGAUACUUGUAGGAGGAGCUAUAGCUACUGUUGUUGCACCUGUACUUCAAGGAUGGAGUAGUUCUUGGCCUGGUUGUUGUGCUACAUCCCAAGUCGUAUUGGCGUGGCGACAACAUCCAGCGCAGCUAUUUCCAUUGCCGAUGACCAGUGAUGCCGUUACAUGCCCUGCUUCUUGGGCCAUCCCGCAGCAUGUACUGGCAGCCGAGAGCCACCCCUGCCCCUGCCUAGCUGCAGGACAACCCUAGUUUGCUGCUGCCUGGCUUCAUCGACGUGGUUGUGCCAUUGGAAGUGACACACGUGGAGAUGCACUGGAUCUGUACGAGAACAUGCAGACCAAGGCGGAGGCGGGUUUAGGAAUGCCGACUAGCUCCACUUGGACAACGCUGGGGACAAGAACGACUACGGCUCAUACCGUGAGAAGAUACUGGCACGAGGAGCUGCGGCUACGGCUACGGCUGUUGCACCUGUACUUCGAGGAAGGAGUAGUGCUUGGCCAGGUUGUUGUGCUACAUCGCAAGUGGUAUUGGUGUGGUGACAACGUCCAGCGGAGCUAUUUCCAUUGCCGAUGACCAGCGAUGCCGCCACGUGCCUGCUUCUCGGGCCAUCCCGCAGCAUGUACUGGCAGCCGAGAGCCACGCCUGCCCCUGCCUUGCUGCAGGACAACCAUAGUUUGCUGCUGCCUGGCUUCAUCGACGUGGUUCUGCCAUGGGAAGUGACACACGUGGAGAUGCACCUGUACUUGGAGGAAGGAGGAUUGCUUGGCCCGAUUGUUGUGCUACAGCGCAAGGGUUAUUGGUGUGGCGACAAUGUCCAGCGCAUCUAUUGCCAGUGCCGAUAACCAGCGAUGCCGCCACAUGCAUGCCCUGCUUCUUAGGCCUUCCCGCAGCAUGGACCGGCAACCAAGAGCCACCCUUGCCCCUGCGUAGCUGCAGGACCUGCAACCAAGAGCCACCCUUGCCCUUGCCUAGCUGCAGACAACCCUAGUUUGCUGCUGCCUGGCUUCAUCGACGUGGUUCUGCCAUUGGAAGAUUAUGUCCCGGGAGUUCUGCUCAUGACGACUUGAUGAGUAUAUAACUUGCAAGUUUCUUACAAACCAGCCCAAUGAAAUUUAUCGUCUUGAGCUCCAUGGUUUUGGCGUAGGUGCUGGUUGCAAGAGCUGAUUAUGUUUUCCCACUAUCCCAUCUGUCCAUUUGACAAAAUUAAAACUACAGGCGAGAAGAUCUCUACUAGGCAGCAAGUGAGCGUCUAAUAUAUAGCAACAUCUUACAUGAUGUGGGCCAUUAAGAUUAUUAUUUGGUGGGCUGGUCCCACAAGAGGCGAUGUGUCCUUUGCAUUGGCGGACAAUAAGGUCCUAGAAGCCUGGGUGGUGUGGCUGAAUCCAUAAACUUGUUCCUCCAGGUGCGCCGCCUCGGUAACAAGGAGGUCGACCAACUGCGGCUCCUCUCCUCUGUUGCCGGGGGCGGCGCGCUGCUGGUGCUGCUUAUUGACCCCUUUGCCUCCACCGCCGCUGUGAUGGCGACGAUGCGCAGUGGGUUUUUCAGGAGAGAAACUUCAACCACUCACGACGCAUGGACAAAGAACGGCUACAAGUCGUAGAUGAAUGUUGCUGCCUAUUCUAAAAAAAACACUUCAACUUUGUAGGCUGGUAGUUGAAUGGCUAAUCAUUGCUCAGAUUCAUAGUUUUAAAUAGCCAGCUAUAGGAUAUGACCUGUGAAAAAAGGCUAUAGCCGCAUCUUGCUCGAAAGGCUAUAGCUAUAGCCGGCUAUUUAUAACUAUUAGGUCACAGUCAUCUAUCUUUAAAAGAGAUUGUGCUUGAAAAUUUCUUGGCAAUGAUUAUGUUUCUGAGAUACAUGCUAUUAGAGGCAGGGUGAAAUUAAACAUGCUAGCCAAACAACGUGUAGCCCUUCACUUGGAAUCAUAUGCAUGCCAGAAGCAACACACCAUUAUAAUUGACAAGUUGACCGGUUCCAAGUCGCAGAAAUUGUAGUUAUUGUUUUCUUUUUCAAAGGGGAGUCAUGGCAGGCUUGAUUUAGUGAGUAUUAUGUUCUAAUUAUUAUCUUCAUUUGUGAUAAUGAUCACAUAAUUUUUACUUAAAUGACAUGGUUUCUUGUGCAUUUUUUUAUUGAUAAUACCUUUUGUACAUGCUGCCAUUUUCAAUUUCCUUGAUGUCCUAAAUUUACUUGAUUUGUAUAACUGGCAGAUCCUAGAAGCUUGGGUGGUCUGGUUGCAUGCUUGCCGCGGCUUCCUGCACCUCGCCGCGUGGUUGUAGGCCUUUGGCUUCGACUACUGCAGGCCUCCCCGCCGUGUGAUCGUAGUGAGUUCACCGUGUCGCAACCGUUGCAGUGGUGGCUUCUUCUUUGUGUCCACAGUUAAGGUACCAUCUAAUUAUUGUUAUGGAUUUUGGUACCACAUGCGUGCGCCCUGACUCCCACGCCUGCAUCGCGCUCACUGGGUCCCAGAUGACAUCCUCGACACAAUGAUAUGGCCACUACUGGGUCGCAACGUCUUUAACACCAUGCAGCAGGUGUUGCCUCAAGGCUGGUGGACAAGCAUGUGUCAACUGCUUCGAGAGCUUCACCCGGCUCCUCCAUAUCAUGCUGCAGAAUGGGUUGAGAUGAUUCUACGUAGGUAUAACUAUUUAUACACAGACACACAAGCUGAGAAACGCCAAUGGUCAGACCUGGACUGUGUAUGUAGACUGAAGGAAUCACAAAGCUCCAGGGUUGUGAUAGUUGCAGCCACGACACACUAUUUUGCAGGUUCCGUUGCUUGGUCUGGUGCAUCACGGGAGGGUCUUGACGCUGCCUGGUGUUGAGCAGGAUGUCGUGGCCUGGUCUACCGCGUACUCCAUUGCUGACUUGCUGCUUCUUUGGCCUGCCGUGACCUGGCAUGCUCUGUUGUUUUCUGCAUCUUGGCUGGCCGUGG